rnacentral:rRNA from 1 species
CCUACGGGUGGCAGCAGUGGGGAAUAUUGGACAAUGGGCGAAAGCCUGAUCCAGCCAUGCCGCGUGUGUGAAGAAGGCCUUCGGGUUGUAAAGCACUUUCAGUGGGGAAGAAAGCCUUGGGGCUAAUACCCUCGAGGAAGGACAUCACCCACAGAAGAAGCACCGGCUAACUCCGUGCCAGCAGCCGCGGUAAUACGGAGGGUGCGAGCGUUAAUCGGAAUUACUGGGUGUAAAGCGCGCGUAGGCGGUCUGAUAAGCCGGUUGUGAAAGCCCCGGGCUCAACCUGGGAACGGCAUCCGGAACUGUCAGGCUAGAGUGCAGGAGAGGAAGGUAGAAUUCCCGGUGUAGCGGUGAAAUGCGUAGAGAUCGGGAGGAAUACCAGUGGCGAAGGCGGCCUUCUGGACUGACACUGACGCUGAGGUGCGAAAGCGUGGGUAGCAAACAGGAUUAGAUACCCCUGUAGUC